UCCGACUGCUUUGAGACUGGACGCGGGAAUGAAUGUCCCGGGGCGGAGAAACAGCUGGCCGCCGUGUGACUACCAGAGUCCCGCGGUGAGCGUGUGCUCAGCCGGUGACACGGUAAUGGAGGCGGCCGUCCUUGGCAGAGGCUUAAAUCAAACCCAGUGCUGCAGUGAGGACGCAGUAUAAAAGCCAAUAACCGCUGCCGGGGAUCCGCGCGCAAAGGACACCUCUGACUCUCGCCAACGUAUUACGCGUAAAUGAAAUAUGAUGUCAUCUUUAUAUUUGAACAGCCUCUGUUCCGCUGUAUGAUCAAUUUCGCCGACUGUAUUAAGUCCCCGCGAGGAGACCCGCCGUUAAUGCGGGUGUCCGUGGGUCAGAGUUCCCCCCGCCUGUGUCAUUAUCAUCAGGUUAGCUCCAUUGAGCAGGGGCCGGCUGUGCCUGUAAGAGCAGAGCUGGGCACCCUGCAAUUAGCAGGGGUGGAAAUGGGCUGGAACGGAUAGGACCGGCAAUCUCAGAGACAAGAUAAUACGGAGGGAUCGCAGUUCUCAUAGAUCUCCCAAGUGCAGUUUUGUUCAUUUUAUAUAUAUCAUUUACACAGCUGUUGACAGUUUUCCACAAAACCACAAAACACCACGAAGGUCCAGGGAACCAAUCGCACACGAGCUGACCCAAAGGAUAGGAAUUACUGGUGCCGUUAAAUACCGGUCAGUUAUUGGCCACUGGCAUGCCGUUUAUAAUUUAUGUCCCGCCUCUCUCGUUAUCAAUUUUCCUCAUGUCCAAAUGAACGUUAUGGGAGAAGAACGGAGGACUAUUCCAACCUGCUACCGCUGCCCCUUUGUUGUCAAGACGACUGACAGUAAACCUUCUCUGCGUGUAGUGCGAUUGUUUACCCAGGAUGCUCCUCUUCAGGAGAGCCAGAAUUAGCCUGACUGGGGAAUCUCAUUAGCCUGAUUAACAGCUAAAUAGAUUCCUGAUCUGCCACCGGCUGGAAAGAGCGAUUGGGUGGGCCCUUAGAGGAGCCACGGGCACUGUUCGUGUAACCGGGGGCGACGGUAAAGGCAGGGUCGGCCUGCGGACAGGCGGCCCGUGCGAAAGAGGCUCGGACCCAUCUGCACCGCAAAUAGGAUUACGUUUUUAAAAUACAUUUUCAUAAAAUUCGAAUUGGACUGGCUUCAACAGCGGAGGGCUGAAUAUAAUUAGCGUUACGCAACAGAGCCCCUGCAAUCAGAUUUAAAAUAUGCAACAUUAUUAAUUGUGUCAUCAGCAUGUGUCAGAUCUGUUACCGUUAGUAACAGAGCUUUUGGUCUUAAGUAGUCUGUCGGCACCCUGACCCCAGCCUAAGGUCAGACGGUUAAGGUCCUUUUUUUUUUUAAGUUUGUACACAAUCACAGAUCUCACGCGUCCUGCCUACAAUGUCCUGUGGAAGUUUGCGUACGUAUAACAGCGUAUGGAAAUCGUGUGGUUCCCUGGCUCAGGAGGCUCGGAGCCUGCGAUGGCGAGUGGGGUUGUCUGUUAGAGAUCCGUCCUGUGCACUGACGGGCCGAUCUCAGGGAAACCGGCUACAAUGACCUGGGAGAAUCUACAGAAAACUGCUCAGAGGAAGAAAAAAAAAGUAAUGGGAAGAGGGGAUUAGGCAAGUGAAUUCACGGGAAGAUUAAAGAAAAAGAUGGUGGAAAACCGAAGAGGCAUGUACACACGAGUACACUCACGCGUGCGCACACACACACACACACACACACACUGUGCCUCUCCGUAUAAAUAUAUACAUGUUCACAUUUGUGAAGUCACAAGUAUAGUUCACAAUUUCCCUGUGCGAUAAGGACAACGGAAGGUAGGCGCUGGAAGGUUGGAUCAGACUGCGAUUAAAAGCCUUUAAAAGCAUCGCAUUUGCAUCGCGUCUUAAGUGCUUAAACAGAGCAGUGGGGAAGCACUGAGCGCCAGACAAAAUUAAAGCCUUCUCCAGUAUUCAAUUAUGCCACAGAGAGACUGUAAAUACUACUUUGAAGCACUAAACGCUCAUUAAUGCAUUUCUUAUGUACAAAUGUAUACAGAAUUUGUGUGUGUGUGUGUGUGCGUCUGCGUGUGAAUACCUGCGUGUGUGUGUGUGUGUGUCUGUUUGUGCAAUUGACUUUGUAAUUAAAGGAGCAGAGCAAAGCUAGCGCAGGUGGUUGAACACCUCUGGUGAGAGCAGCUGUAGCCUCAGGAUUGACAGGAAAGUGGGGUGUUUAAGUUGCAGUCCUGGCAACCCCUGUUCUCACUCCCACCCCGAGGGGCCCCCUCCUGACCCGAUGAGUCUCGACACACCUCCCCUACACGGGGUGCACCAAGUUGCCCUCUUACGCUAAUUGACUUAAAUCCCACCCCCCCCCCCCAAAAUGGCGCUGGGAAUAAGUGGGUGGCUACAUGUCAUUCCCGAGGGGACUGGGGGGGUGUUAACAGCGGCCAUGUCUCACCCUCGUUUCGGGUCCCACUCCCUCCUCUCCGGCACAGGAUGUGAUGUAACAGGUAGGGUCGUCACAGGGACAUUAGCCAGCCAUACUGGGGCGACAUAGCUCAGGAGGUAAGACCGAUUGUCUGGCAGUCGGAGGGUUGCCGGUUCAAACCCCGCCCUGGGCCUGUCGAAGUGUCCUUGAGCAAGACACCUAACCCCUAACUGCUCUGGCGAAUGAGAGGCAUCAAUUGUAAAGCGCUUUGGAUAAAAGCGCUAUAUAAAUGCAGUCCUUUUACCAUACCGCACAGCACCCGGCCAGUUCUCUGUGCGUCCUCGGCCAUCAUACCAAAGACAAACAGCCGUGGAUGACUGAGGGUCGUCCUCAGGCAGAGUAACACACUGAGGGACUCCACCAGUGCUGUCCUGCUGUAUGUCUGUGCGUUCUGUUGUAUGUGUCUUGUGAUGGAGCAUGUAAAUGAGAACAUUGGGGAAAAAUUUGAAAUUUUAAGUAUAUAAAAUAACAGUAUAUCUAAAUAAAAAAACCGAAUUUUCACAAAAUAAGCAGUUUCCUCUGGUGUUUUUCCCCCUUUUUUUACUUUAUUCCACACUACCUUACCUUACAGUUUCAUACUUACAGGUGUCAACAAUUCCCCUCCCAGUGA